GGGGGCGGCCGGAGGGUCGCCUUCCGGACGCGGCUUUCGGGCCGCUCCGGGGGGAGGAACUUCCGAACUCCUCAGGACACGGUGCCUGUCGAAAGGCAGGACGGCGUGGGCGAAAGCCCCCGCCGAUGGAAAGUGCCACAGAAAACAUACCGCCCCGGCGCGUGCCGGGGUAAGGGUGAAAAGGCGUCGGUAAGAGCGCACCGCUCCGGGGGCGACCCCGGGGGCUAGGCAAACCCCACCGGGAGCAAGGCAUAGGGCGGCAUACGCGGUCCGCGUCCUGUCGCAAGACGGGAACCGUCCGGUAGCUGCAUCAGAGAAAUGAUCCUCCACCGGCCGCAAGGCCGGGGACAGAAUUCGGGGUACAGGCCGCCCCCCGUC
rnacentral:RNase_P_RNA from 3 species